rnacentral:rRNA from 1 species
GACGAACGCUGGCGGCGUGCCUAAUACAUGCAAGUAGAACGCACAGUUUAUACCGUAGCUUGCUACACCAUAGACUGUGAGGUGCGAACGGGUGAGUAACGCGUAGGUAACCUGCCUGGUAGCGGGGGAUAACUAUUGGAAACGAUAGCUAAGACCGCAUAAUAUUGAUUAUUGCAUGAUAAUUGAUUGAAAGAUGCUAUUGCAUCACUACCAGAUGGACCUGCGUUGUAUUAGCUAGUAGGUGAGGUAACGGCUCACCUAGGCGACGAUACAUAGCCGACCUGCGAGGGUGAUCGGCCACACUGGGACUGGGACACGGCCCAGACCCCUACGGGAGGCAGCAGUAGGGAAUCUUCGGCAAUGGACGAAAGUCUGACCGAGCAACGCCGCGUGAGUGAAGAAGGGUUUCGGAUCGUAAAGCUCUGUUGUAAGAGAAGAACGGGUGUGAGAGUGGAAAGUUCACACUGUGACGGUAUCUGACCAGAAAGGGACGGCUAACUACGUG